rnacentral:piRNA from 1 species
UGGCAAAGAAUGGGAUCCUACAACAUGG